GUUAUUAACUGCAAGUAUGAAAUCUUGGAGGUGAUGAAAGGACGUGAGAUUCAGAACACAGCUGAAGAUGUUAAUUCUGGGGAAGAGGUGCAGUAGCAAGUAUUUGGAGAAAGGAAACAAAAGACAAAGAAGAAAGAUUUGCAGUAGAGCAUGGGGACACGGCAUUUUCUCUAGCUAGAUUGCAGCUAAUCUUCCCCUUACAUGACACCUACAAGUUAAACAAACUGCAACUAGGAAGAUCGUGAUCAUUUGACUAGGACCUGGAUUGUUUGAGAGAGGCAGUCUAAAAGUAAGUUUUUACUAAUUAUUUUUGAACCUUGUAAUGGCAUUUUAAGCAACUGCUUUCACCUACAAUAAUAGUUACUUAUUUUACUUUUCCUGAAUAAGCCAGGCUCUUUCCUAAGUUUAUUAAAUGUAUUGUCUACUCUACCCCUUAUACCACAGACUCACAAUGUAGAUACUAUCAUGAUUAUAAUAAUCAUACUAUUAAUAAAAAUUAAUAUUACUUUAUUUGUAUUAUGGCUACUAUUGUUCUAUUGACAAAAAGAGAAGAGAGGUUAAGUAACGCGCAUAGAGAGAUAAGUACCAGGUCCCCAAAUAAACCUCAACCAUGUGGUUAAAGCCUAUUAAUAGCCUGACCACAAGCCCUCUGAGGUGGGAGCCUGGACACUUAAUAUCCUAUUAAUCCCUACUGUGCUGUGGGCUAGAGCCUAUGUGUCCCUUCAAGGAGCACAGGGAUGUUAAGUGUGGGUCUGUAGCUCUGGGGAGCUGUUUUCCUUUUAGGAAUACUCCUUGCUAGUUUUCAAAUAAUUCUUUAGCACUGAAGUUGGGACCCCUGAGACAUUUUUUUAUGUUCUAAAGACCACUCUGUUAGUUAAGUAAACCUGACUACAACCUUGAACAAAUUUAUAAUCUAUUGAAAUGUUACAGUAAAAGAAAUGCGAAGGUAAAGCAAAAAUUCUAAUUAUUUCAAAGGUAAUUGCAAACUAUCUAGCUGCCCUGAGAGUCUCCCCAAAGUCCCGGCAUUGCUUGGCACUACCACACCCUGUUUUCUGGAGGAUUUUUAGUUCAAACACGUACCUAAAUUUGACCAGAUAUCUAAAUUCCCAUUUGGAGACACAUCAUGGCAUGUAGGAUACUUUCCUACUUUUUCGCUAAAAAAGGUUUUCGAUCGAAAGUUGAAUGCUGUGGAUGUUGAAGUCCCAUGCGUCUGAGGUCCCAAGUCUCAGAAGCCUUUCCUCAUGCUGUUUCCAUACGUGUUUUCAGUUCUUGGAAUGAAAUUCUCAGAUUAGAACGCAUCAGACCUCUCUUAGUUCUCAUGGAGUAUGUAGAGGCCAUGAUGAACUGAAGAUUUCUCUCUGGUGUGGAUAUGUUUUCUCUUUUACCUCUGAACUUCUACAUCAAGACUUCGUGUGAAUGAGCUCUGCUUUUGAGGAUUCAUGACUCUUUUCCUCCAUGAUUUGAAAAUGUAUAUUCAAAAGAUUAAAAGAUGGAGCUGGCCGAGUGAGGUGGCUCAUGCCUGUAAUCCCAGCACUGUGGGAGGCCGAAGCAGGUGGAUCACUUGAGGUCAGCAGUUCAAGACCACCCUGGCCAACAUGGUGAAACCCUGCCUCUACUAAAAAUACAGAAAUUAGCCAAGUGCAAUGGCAGGCACCUGUAAUCCCAGCUACUCGGGAAGCUGAGGAUGGAGAAUCACUUGAACCCUGGAGGCAGAGGUUGCAGUGAACUGAGAUCACACCACAGCACUCCAGUCUGGGUGACUCAGUCUUGAAAAAUGAAAUGAAAUAAAAUAAAAUAAAAGAUAGAGCUGGAGUUUUGCUGGUUACUAUUAUUUAAUCAGAGGACAUAUCACCCUCCUCACAAAGGUGAGAAUCACACAGUCCCAGGAGGUUGUUUGGGCACCAGCUACAGGCCCACAGUCACCGUCAGCAAAAUCAAAUGUGUGUGUUACACACAGACGUCUCAUCUCCAUGGGCUUAUAGACACCAGGCUAGGCAACUAAAAGGGAAAAGUAUUUUUUAUUUUUAUUUUGUUUCUUCCAAGUUAAAGCAUGCUUUUCCUGUUUAUAAAACUUCUGUUUUUGGAAACACUUCUCACUGUACUUUACCAUGAGCAAGGUAAGAUAAGUUUUAUAAGUAGGAAAGCAUGCUUUUAUUUUUGUUUUUAUUUUAUACAAGUAAAGAAGAAAAUAAAAGCAAAACAAAAAUUUAUCUCUCUCAAGUGUCUACUCUCAAUGUUUUGUGCUUGCCACACCCCAUAGUCUAUACACAUACAUACUUACAAAGAGGAUUGUUCACCUGUGGGCUUGUUUAACAUACAUUUAUUUUAUAAUGUAUCAUAUAUAUCUUUUCAUAAUUUUUAAAAAAUUAUCUCUUCACUAUAAUGACUACAUAUGUUUGCAUUCUGGGGUGUUAAUUUAAUUUAAUUAGCAAAUCAUUUAUCAAUGCAUAUUUACUGUGACUAUGAUUGUUUAUAUUUUAACUAAUGUUGUGAUGACAUUCUUGUGUAUAUUUUGUUGCAAUACAUUUCCCAAAGGACAAUUUUUCAGCCUUAGGUUUUUCACAUUUCAUAUCUCUGAGACUGUGCUCCAUAAAGCUAUAUGGAUUUGGAUCCCCGUUAGAGACGUGUCUACACUCAUUUCUGAUAAAUGCACACAGGUAUCUCCAGGACUUAUGCCCUGCCCAGAAUACACUGGUUUUCUAUAAAUACUGUUGAAUGAAUAAAUGUAUCUUUAACAUUACCAUGGUGUUUUUUAACCUCUGUCAACAUGAGAAGCAAAACCUACCUCCUUGUUUUAAUUUACAUUUGUUUAAUUGCCUGUGAGGCCCAACAUCUUUUCAUAAAUGCCUGGCUAAUUUGUGUAUUUAUUUUUCCUCUUGUGAACUGCCUACUCAUUUUCUUUUGAUGUUAUUGAUGUGUAGGAUUCUCCUUGUUGACUUGUAAGAAUAAUUUAGAAACUAGUGAGUAAAUCUUUGUUUUGUGUGUCAAUUUUUUUUCAAUUAUUUGCUUGUCUUUUAUUGUUUGGUUGCUUUUACCUUAGGUAAAAAGGUAAGUGUUAUGUCUUUCUCCAGGUUUAAUUUAUUUAUUUUUUUGGAGGAGGGAUAUUCUGGGUCUUUACUACAUAACCCACCUCUACUCCAAAAGCAUAAUUUUUCACUAUUUUUAUAAACAUUAAUAUAUGUCCCAAACAUAAUUUUUGUCCUCAUUUUUUUAGAACACAGAACAACACACAGUUUUAGAACAUAAAGCAUAAAAUUUUUGAGUGUAUUAGUCUGUUCUCAUGCUGCUUAUAAAGACAUACCCAAGACUGGGUAAUUUAUAAAGAAAAGAGGUUUAAUGGACUCACAGUUCCACAUGGCUGGGGGAGCCUCACAAUCAUGGCAGAAGACGAAUGCGGAGCAGAGUCACAUCUUACAUGGCUGCAGGCAAUAGAGAUUGUGUAGGGGAACUGCCCUUUAUAAAACCAUCAGAUCUCGUGAGACUUAUUCACUAUCAAGAGAACAGCAGGGAAAAGACCUGCCCCAUGAUUCAAUUACCUCCCACUGGGUCCCUCCCACAACAUGUGGGGAUUAUGGGAGCUACAAUUCAAGAUGAAGUUUUGGGGGGGACACAGCCAGACCACAUCAAAGGGUCUUCAUUUGAAUUGUUUUCCACAUGAGGAUGAGAAGAUUUCUAUUUUUUUAAUUUAAAUACUAGUCAGCUGAGUAUUUUUUACUCAGUAUCAUUUACUGAAAACCUAACUUUUCCCCAGAGUUGAAAGGACAUCUCUGUUAAAUAUGAGAUUUGCAUAUAAAACUGGAUAAAGCUUAAACUCUGAAUUCUCUUCUUCUUAUCCCCCCAUCUAUUGCUAGGCCUGUAACAUACCCUACCAUUUGAAUUAUUUACCUUUCAAGUGCAUUUUAUGUUUUCUUAAUUUAUAUGGUCCUCUUUAUGCUUCCUUGCAUAAUUCCCACUCCCAUUUUUGUAUAUUUAUUUUCUGGAUAAGCUUUAGAAUAAUUGCUGUUGUGUUUUAAAAUAUUGGUGGAACUUUAUUAAGAUGCUAUUGAAUAUAUGAAUUAAAUUGGGAAGACUUGUCAUCUUAAUGAAAUAGAAUCUUCCCAUCUAAGAAGCAGGUAUGAUUUUCAAUAUUUCAUCAUAUGUUUAUACAUACAACAUGGCUUUUAAAUUUCAUUUCAGGAAAGUAUAGAAAUAUGGGCUGACUUGCUAUCAUUUUUUUUUUUUUUGAGAUGGAGUUUCAUUCUUGUUGCCCAAGCUGGAGUGUAAUGGCGUGAUCUUGGCUCACUGCAACCUCGGCCUCCCAGGUUCAAGCAAUUCUCCUGCUUCAGCCUUCUGAGUAGCUAGGAUUACAGGCAUGCGCCACCACAGAUGACUAAUUUUGUAUUUUUAGUAGAGACAGGGUUUCUCCAUGUUGGUCAGGCUGGUCUCGAACUCCCAACCUCAGGUGAUCCACCCGCCUUGGCCUCCCAAAAUGCUGGGAUUAUAGCCAUGAGCCACCGCGCCCGGCCCAAGAGUUGCUAUCUUAAUGAAAUAUAACCUUCCCAUCUAAGAAGCAGAGUUUUGCUCGGUCACUCACGGCAACCUCCGCCUCCUGGGUUCAAGCAGUUCUCCUGCCUCAGUCUCCCGAGUAGCUGGGACUCUACAGGCAUCCCCCAUCAGAUGUUGUUCUGUUGGGUUUCAUUUAACCAGUCUCAACAAAUGAUACAGAAUAUUUCCUAAAGAACUUAUAAUCCAAUAAAUGACUUUUUGAUGCCUCAUGGAGAAAAUUGGCUUUGAGACCACACUUCUUCCCACUUCUUCAAUAUAAAAGAAAAACAAGUUCUUAUUAACACAAUUUUGGACACUCAAGCACAUUCUAUGGUUCUGUAUUGGUGAUGAAAACUGCCUAUGAGCGACUACCAACCUCUUUUAUGCUGCCUAUUUUUGGAGAUGUCCAAAUUUAAGAUUAAGGAUUCUGGAAAUUUGUUUCACAUAUUCUCUUUCUCUUUCUCUCAAGGUUAGGGUACCCAGUGUCUUCCAAACUAAAGUAUUGUAAUAUUACCCUGCCACCUAGGGGUAUUGCCAAAGAAAUUUAUGCAUGUAUAUAGACAUUUAGUGUAUUGGUCAAAAUGUGACAAUUAUGUUAUUAAAGUAUGUAAUUAACAGUCACAAUUGUGUUUUUGUAUUUUGUUUUCUCUUUCAUAAUAGUCUUUGUUCUUGAAACCAAAUGAGAAUGGU
rnacentral:tRNA from 10 species